CAAGUCGAGGGGCAGCAUGACCGUAGCAAUACGGUUGAUGGCGACCGGCAAACGGGUGCGGAACACGUACACAACCUUCCUUUAAGCGGGGAAUAGCCCGGGGAAACCCGGAUUAAUACCCCAUAGUAUAUUGAAGAGGCAUCUCUUUACUAUUAAAGAUUUAUCACUUGAAGAUGGGUGUGCGGCUGAUUAGCUAGUUGGCGGGGUAAAGGCCCACCAAGGCAACGAUCAGUAACUGGUGUGAGAGCACGACCAGUCACACGGGCACUGAGACACGGGCCCGACUCCUACGGGAGGCAGCAGUAAGGAAUAUUGGUCAAUGGACGAAAGUCUGAACCAGCCAUGCCGCGUGGAGGAUGAAGGUCCUCUGGAUUGUAAACUUCUUUUAUCUGGGACGAAAAAAGGUUUUUCUAGACCGACUGACGGUACCAGAUGAAUAAGCACCGGCUAACUCCGUGCCAGCAGCCGCGGUAAUACGGAGGGUGCAAGCGUUAUCCGGAUUCACUGGGUUUAAAGGGUGCGUAGGUGGGCUGGUAAGUCAGUGGUGAAAUCUCCGGGCUUAACUCGGAAACUGCCAUUGAUACUAUCAGUCUUGAAUACCGUGGAGGUCAGUAGAAUAUGUCAUGUAGCGGUGAAAUGCUUAGAUAUGACAUAGAAUACCAAUUGCGAAGGCAGCUGGCUACACGAAUAUUGACACUCAGGCACGAAAGCGUGGGGAUCAAACAGGAUUAGAUACCCUGGUAGUCCACGCCCUAAACUAUGGAUACUCGACAUACGCGAUACACUGUGUGUGUCUGAGCGAAAGCAUUAAGUAUCCCACCUGGGAAGUACGAUCGCAAGAUUGAAACUCAAAGGAAUUGGCGGGGGUCC
rnacentral:rRNA from 1 species